rnacentral:rRNA from 1 species
AACGAACGCUGGCGGCAGGCCUAACACAUGCGAGUCGAGCGAGGACUUCGGUCCUAGCGGCGGACGGGUGAGUAACGCGUGGGAACGUGCCCUUUGCUUCGGAAUAGCCCUGGGAAACUGGGAGUAAUACCGGAUGAGCCCUUUGGGGGAAAGAUUUAUCGGCGAAGGAUCGGCCCGCGUUGGAUUAGGUAGUUGGUGGGGUAAUGGCCUACCAAGCCGACGAUCCAUAGCUGGUUUGAGAGGAUGAUCAGCCACACUGGGACUGAGACACGGCCCAGACUCCUACGGGAGGCAGCAGUGGGGAAUCUUAGACAAUGGGGGAAACCCUGAUCGAGCCAUGCCGCGUGAGCGAUGAAGGCCUUAGGGUUGUAAAGCUCUUUCAGCUGGGAAGAUAAUGACGGUACCAGCAGAAGAAGCCCCGGCUAACUCCGUG